AGCAAGCGGAGCAAUGUAUAGAAUGGGUAGGGCCAUACUGAAGGCAGAGAGGGAGACCUUGACAAGCAUCCGGGGAGGGGCGUGUCAACUCCCGUGGACCAAGGAGAUAUCGCUGGAGAGGGAUGAUGGAAGUGAGCUCAGAGAGGCCAAGCAAGUCACCCACGUUCACACCGCUGAAAAGUACCAGUUUCUAUCCAGAGGGCCAGCUCAUCCUUGGCUGUACUGAGACCACAGAAAGGAGUGAGUGUUGGGCAGCAGAACUGGAAAGGGUCUUCGUAAAAGAGCUACUCCAUCAGGACGUACCAGGGCUGUCACUUCCAGGUUAGUGGAUAGAACUCUCCAACGCGUCAAGGGCUAGGCCCUGUGGCUUGCAAGGACAGAUGAGGAGACAGUGUGUGGAGACGUGCUUCUGGAAACUCUGAAAGGUGAACAACGCAAUUCCGGAAUGAGCAGGAUCCACAGGACGUGCGGGCCGUGAAGAUACUGCACCUGUCAGUUUAGGUUCUGUGCCUCUCUGGAUCAAACCCAGGACCUCCUGCAUGCUCAGCAAACACUCCACCUCCACCGACGGAGCUACAGUGUUACCCAGCCCAAACCAUGCAGAGAGGAUGGAGCAUAAGAAGCAGCCGUCACAAGCGUGGAGCUGCUGCGGCGUAUAGCGUACGGGUGCCUGCUGCAUGCCAGGGGCAGACCGCCAUGGACAGCAUUUUCUUCCCAGCACCCCAGCCAGCCCUGCACUCCUGACCGCCAACUUCAACAUCUCUAAAGACCUCCUCAUCUCAGGGAUGAAUUCUGAGCUCACGUUCUGGACCGCUGCCAGGAAGAAGGAAGCGGCGUUAGUUUAAAGCAUCACACAAAGGGCCGCAGUUGGAACGGGUGACUUACCGAGAGGCUACAGAGAAAUGCUGCCUCCACCCUCUGCCAAGGGACUCAAAUCAGCAUUUGUUGACAUUUCUCAAGACACUCUUAGUGCUGGUGACAUUUCAGAGACCUGCUCUCUGACAGGGCUGGAGGAUGAAAACCUGACCUUGAAGCCUUUGCUCCAGACUCAGACCCACUGGAACAAACCUAGCCUUUCCUCCAGCACCUCCAACCAGUUUGGAGAUACCCAGAGGGCUCUGCUGCCAUCUUGGAAAUGCUGAGCGGAUUAAGACUGAAGCAGGUGUAGGCUCAGCCCUUUCCUUCCAAAGCUUCCACAUCUGCCUCUGUUGGAUGGAACCCACCAUCCUUGCUGUCUUCAGAACAGGGUUGUAAACCCAUAGUGGUGAGAAAAGGAAAGUGCUCCAUCAACUAUGUGCUGUGGUCUGAGUGUGAAGUUCAGAUGGAGGCAUUAGGGCUGGAGUAGGGGUACAGGAUCAGCAGGUGCACAGGCUGGAGGAACCGAGCCAGAUUCUGGGAAUUUCAUACAUUGUAGAGAGUCACUUAGUGGGCAGAUGUAGACCGCCUUGGUGGGUUACUCAGUCUAGGGGUGUAACCCGCCUGGCAGGGUCAGUAAUUCCAGGGUCCCGGAGAGGCACUAUCUGGGAGAUAUGGGCGGGAAAAGAGGAAGGAAGC